CAAAAGUCAGUCGAGGUGACUGCGAAGGUCAUU
rnacentral:rRNA from 1 species